rnacentral:rRNA from 1 species
GGCACAUACUAGGGGGUAGCGACUGUUUAACAAAAACACAGGACUCUGCGAAAUUGAAAGAUGAAGUAUAGGGUCUGACGCCUGCCCGGUGCCGGAAGGUUAAGGAGAGAAGUGAGAGCUUUGAACUGAAGCCCCGGUAAACGGCGGCCGUAACAAUAACGGUCCUAAGGUAGCGAAAUUCCUUGUCGGGGUAAGUUCCGACCUGCACGAAUGGCGUAACGACUUCCCCGCUGUCUCCAACAUAGGCUCAGCGAAAUUGAAUUCUGAGUUAAGAUGCUCAGUACCCGCGGUUAGACGGAAAGACCCCGUGAACCUUUACUAUAGCUUUGCAGUGGUAUUAGGUAAGACAUGUGUAGGAUAGGUGGGAUGCUAUGAAGGCAGGACGCUAGUUUUACUGGAGCAGACGUUGAAAUACCACCCUUGUGUUAUUUGAGGUUCUAACUCUGGUCCGUUAUCCGGAUCGAGGACAGUGUAUGGUGGGUAGUUUGACUGGGGCGUCUCCUCCUAAAGAGUAACGGAGGAGUACGAAGGUGCGCUCAGACCGGUCGGAAAUCGGUCGUAGAGUAUAAAGGCAAAAGCCG